UACAGAGACUGCGAGCGUUAUUCGGAUUCACUGGGCGUAAAGGGUGCGCAGGCGGCCAAGUGUGUUAGGCGUGAAAGCCCGGGGCUUAACCUCGGAAUUGCACCUAAAACUACUUGGCUAGAGCAUUGGAGAGGGUAGCGGAAUUCACGGUGUAGCAGUGAAAUGCGUAGAUAUCGUGAGGAACACCAGAGGCGAAGGCGGCUACCUGGACAAUUGCUGACGCUCAGGCACGAAAGCGUGGGAGCAAAAGGG
rnacentral:rRNA from 1 species